CCACAGCAGACAUCUAGGCACCACAGCGGACAUCUUUGGACAAUGGGCCACAAGAGAAUUCUCUCUCGGAAGACAGGUUCUCAUGAGCGCUUGUCUCCUGAGAGGGAACUCUCUCUCGGCCCUUCAGCCAAAGUCUCCACUGCUGUGCCUGUCCUCAGCUGACAUCUGUGAGGCGUGGAGAUGGUCAGGGGCAACGGGAGGUGACAACCAUCUGGCUUCUUCACAGAGGACAAAGCUGAGGUCAGGCACAACAAGGACACUUCUUUGCCUGAGGGGCUAAAGUUCCUCUCAGAAACUCUCUCCUGGGCUAACAGCCAAAGAAGUACUGCCACUGAGCCUGCCUAUGGAUUUCUAUGUAGUGAAGAAGGUGGUUGUCAACCUCUAUGCUUCCCAUUGCUCCUGGCUGUUUCAUCCAGUGCUUAAGAGACCUCAGGCAGAGAUACCAUGACUUAAAUUCCCCAAAGUCUUCAGGAAAGCCUCUCCCCCCCACCCACCAUUUGGAACAGCUGCACUAGAAAUAGGAUGGCCAACACCCUUUAAAGUACAGGCUUUCCCCCUGAUUGACAAGACUGGCAGCCUCCUUAAUAUUCCCAAAGGUCUGCAGCCAGUUUCUUGUCUGUAUGAGGUUUGCCUGAAACAACAUGAGACAGCAGCCCGGCUUGCUCUACUCAGCUAUGCAGCAGCAAGAGCACAAGGCUUUCUGGGGGACGUCAAGAGCUAGUGCCAAAAGAAACUGAAAUUAAUUGGCUCUGGAUACACAGACGUGAGAUCUAUAUUCAAUGUGGGUUCCUUCUAGCUUUGGAGAUGGGCACCUGUCUUGCCUGCUACUAGGAUGGUUGCAUUUUUGAUAUUACUGUAAUUUGUAUCCGAUGUAA